rnacentral:RNase_P_RNA from 1 species
AGGUGACUAGGCGAUCGCGUGCCCGAAAGGGUAUGAGGAAAGUCCGAGCACUACAGGGCAGGGUGCCGGCUAACGGCCGGUGGAGGCGACUCCAAGGAGAGUGCAACAGAGAGAUACCGCCGGAUUGAUCCGGUAAGGAUGGAAAGGCGAGGUAAGAGCUCACCCACGGCCUGGCGACUCGUCCGUGAUGUAAACCCCACCCGGUGCAAGAUGGAUAGGGACUAUCAGUGGCCCGCUGCGUUCCUGAAAUCGCUUGAGCCUGCGCGGCAACGCCAGGUCUGGAUAGAUGAUCGUCCUCGACAGAACUCGGCUUACAGUCACGCUC